UACGAAGGGGGCGAGCGUUGUUCGGAAUUACUGGGCGUAAAGCGCGCGCAGGCGGCCCGCGAGGUGUCACGUGAAAGCCCCGGGCUCAACCCGGGAGGGUCGUGGCAAACCGGCGGGCUUGAGGCCGGUAGAGGUGGGUGGAACUCCUGGUGGAGUGGUGAAAUGCGCAGAUAUCGGGAGGAACACCGGUGGCGAAGGCGGUUCUCUGGGCCUGUACUGACGCUGAGGAGCGAAAGCGUGGGGAGCGAACAGG
rnacentral:rRNA from 1 species